rnacentral:rRNA from 1 species
UGGGGAAUCUUCCGCAAUGGACGAAAGUCUGACGGAGCAACGCCGCGUGAGUGAAGACGGCCUUCGGGUUGUAAAGCUCUGUGAUCCGGGACGAAAGAGCCUGAGGCGAAUAGCCGAAGGAAGUGACGGUACCGGAAAAGCAAGCCACGGCUAACUACGUGCCAGCAGCCGCGGUAAUACGUAGGUGGCAAGAGUUGUCCGGAAUUAUUGGGCGUAAAGCGCGCGCAGGCGGCUUCCUAAGUCCAUCUUAAAAGUGCGGGGCUUAACCCCGUGAUGGGAUGGAAACUGGGAAGCUGGAGUAUCGGAGAGGAAAGUGGAAUUCCUAGUGUAGCGGUGAAAUGCGUAGAGAUUAGGAAGAACACCGGUGGCGAAGGCGACUUUCUGGACGAAAACUGACGCUGAGGCGCGAAAGCGUGGGGAGCAAACAGG